CAAGUCCUUGAAGAUUUGCAAAAAAGAAGAUAAUUUAUACCACCCCAUAUUUUAUGAGUUGUUUGCAGAGACCAGGGAACCUCAGAGGAGACACAGCCAACUAACUCACUUAAAUGGAACAGUUGGAAGCUUCUGGCUGACAGCAAGUAUGAAACAGAACGCAAUCGUGAGCCUGAAGGAACUGAGUCCUGCCACUGACCGUAUGAGUAGCAAUGCGUUGGUACAGUGCAGCUGUAUCACUUCUUACUCAAGACUUCACAU
rnacentral:lncRNA from 1 species